rnacentral:rRNA from 1 species
CCUACGGGUGGCAGCAGUGGGGAAUAUUGCACAAUGGGGGAAACCCUGAUGCAGCGACGCCGCGUGAGUGAAGAAGUAUUUCGGUAUGUAAAGCUCUAUCAGCAGGGAAGAAAAUGACGGUACCUGAUUAAGAAGCACCGGCUAACUACGUGCCAGCAGCCGCGGUAAUACGUAGGGGGCAAGCGUUAUCCGGAUUUACUGGGUGUAAAGGUAGCGUAGACGGCAGCACAAGUCUGGAGUGAAAUGCCGGGGCUUAACCCCGGAACUGCUUUGGAAACUGUGCAGCUAGAGGGCAGGAGAGGUAAGUGGAAUUCCGAGUGGUGCGGUGAAAGGCGUAGAUAGUAGGAGGAAAACCAGUGGCGAAGGCGGCUUACUGGACUGUAACUGACGUUGAGGCUCGAAAGCGUGGGGAGCAAACAGGAUUAGAUACCCCUGUAGUC